rnacentral:rRNA from 1 species
AGUGAACGCUGGCGGUAGGCCUAACACAUGCAAGUCGAACGGCAGCACAGUAAGAGCUUGCUCUUACGGGUGGCGAGUGGCGGACGGGUGAGGAAUACAUCGGAAUCUACUUUUUCGUGGGUGAUAACGUAGGGAAACUUACGCUAAUACCGCAUACGACCUACGGGUGAAAGCAGGGGAUCUUCGGACCUUUCGCGAUUGAAUGAGCCGAUGUCGGAUUAGCUAGUUGGCGGGGUAAAGGCCCACCAAGGCGACGAUCCGUAGCUGGUCUGAGAGGAUGAUCAGCCACACUGGAACUGAGACACGGUCCAGACUCCUACGGGAGGCAGCAGUGGGGAAUAUUGGACAAUGGGCGCAAGCCUGAUCCAGCCAUACCGCGUGGGUGAAGAAGGCCUUCGGGUUGUAAAGCCCUUUUGUUGGGAAAGAAAAGAAGCAGGUUAAUACCCCGCUGUUCUGACGGUACCCAAAGAAUAAGCACCGGCUAACUUCGUG